CUCUGUCCACAAAAUCAACAAUAUUUGGAAUCAGACGGGACUUCAUUAGAGGCUGGAAAGGUCUUAUAUAAGAGAAUUGGGUAAAGAAGUUCAAAGAAAAAGGCUGAUUCAGUAAACUCUUACGUGAGAGACUUUCCUUGAAAGAUGACUGGUGGAGCUACUGCAGCAAAGCCGCAGAAUGCGAUGUGAAACUGAAAAGUGCAAGACAGUGUAAACAUCAAAAGCUUAGUGUCUUUUUUCAUGGCUUCCUGAGAAACCUCUGAUUCAGAGGAGCAUCUACCAUUGGGGAUACGAUUUAACUUACCACGUAAAAGAAGAAAAAAGCUCCAAACUUCAGGGCACUAUCAGUUCUGCAAUAGCUGAUUUUACCGGGUAGCUCGGUAAAGAGGACGAUACCAUAAGACGUAAGCCCCAGGGACCCCAGCAAUGAAGUAGAUGAUUGACAUAAGCCAUAUAGUGGGACCUGAUAACAUUACAAUCACAUGAGUCAACAUGACAAGAGGACUUGUCAAUAAAGUGGCCUUUACGUUACCUAACAGUGUGGUGAAUGCGACAUAUUGGAUCUUCUGUAGAUGAAGCGGAAUCUCAUUUGGAAUGUCAUUAUGAAUUAAAGGGAAAAACUCGGGCCAAUUCUUCUCCUCAAUGACUACUCCAGCUGCCAAAUCAACCGUAUCAGGUCACAUGGAAGCCAGAAAUAACCUGCUCUUUCCGCUUCAGUUCGUUCUCUUUAGCCUGGAGUUCCAUCUCUCUAGCUCGAAGAUCCUUUAAACAGAAACAGCGAGAAUGAGAUCCUCGGUUUCAUUCUAACCAGAUUUUGAGCAAACACUGUUAAGGCAAAAUGCAGAAGGUAUUGGUACCUUGCCGGAAUCCAAAGGGAUAUCAACGGUUGCACCACGAUC